GGUCCCCAACCCAGUCCUCAUGGACCACCAACAGUCCAGGUUUUGUUAGUAUCUCCAUUUUAAUAAAAAAAGGAAAUACAUGGACUUUUGGUGGUCCAUGAGGACUGGGUUGGGGAC
rnacentral:miRNA from 1 species